AUCCCCGUCCUUGAAGCGGGCAGCUU
rnacentral:misc_RNA from 1 species